rnacentral:rRNA from 1 species
AUGCAAAGUAUGAGCAUUGCAGACUCUAGCGAGCUGCUGAAGGUCGACGAGGAGGGUGCCGCCACCACCGUCAUCAGGCUGGUCCACAUCCAUGCGCUUCUCGGCGUCACCAGGUCACCGGCACAACUCCUCACGCCCAGGUCGUUCAACAUUUUCUUCCGCUUUUGGUGCGUCACAUUUAGAGUCUUUCUUUCCCAUUUUACCGUGUUUGCAUGGUAA